GCUGGGCGCAGUGGUGUGUGCCUGUAGUCCCAGCUACUUGAGAGGCUGAGGUGGGAGGAUUGCUUGAGCCCAGAUGUUCUGGGCUGUAGUGCACUAUGCCAAUCGGGUGUCCGCACUAAGUUCGGCAUCAAUAUGGUGACCUCCCGGGAGCGGGGGAACAUCAGGUUGCCUAAGGAGGGGUGAACCGGCCCAGGUUGGAAACAGAGCAUGUCAAAACUCCCAUGCUGAUCAGUAGUGGGAUCGCGCCUGUGAAUAGCCACUGCACUCCAGCCUGUGCCAACAUAGCGAGACCCCGUCUCU
rnacentral:SRP_RNA from 1 species